GCCAGAGCGCCGGUCUUGUAAUCCGGAAGUCGGAGGUUAAAACCCUCCCUAGUGCU
rnacentral:tRNA from 1 species